CAUCCUCCAAGGCUAAAUACUCCUGACUGACCGAUAGUGAACCAGUACCGUGAGGGAAAGGCGAAAAGAACCCCGGCGAGGGGAGUGAAAAAGAACCUGAAACCGUGUACGUACAAGCAGUGGGAGCACAGGUUUACCUGUGUGACUGCGUACCUUUUGUAUAAUGGGUCAGCGACUUAUAUUCUGUAGCAAGGUUAACCGAAUAGGGGAGCCGGAGGGAAACCGAGUCUUAACUGGGCGUUAAGUUGCAGGGUAUAGACCCGAAACCCGGUGAUCUAGCCAUGGGCAGGUUGAAGGUUGGGUAACACUAACUGGAGGACCGAACCGACUAAUGUUGAAAAAUUAGCGGAUGACCUGUGGCU
rnacentral:rRNA from 1 species